CCCAACGUGAAGGAAGGAAGGGCAGGAACCGCGUGGGAGGGAAGCGUACAGAGGGCGGAGCUAACGUCCAGCCAAGCUCGGGGAGAGGAGGAGGAGCGGGCGGAGAGCGGGUAGGAGGGGGGAGGAGCUAAAGUCCACCCAAAUACCGGGAGGAGGCUGCCGUAGGAAGGACGGAAGUGAGUGGGGGCGGUGCUAAAUGCCGUUCCUCGUAUAAGGGGAGGAAGAAGGGCAGGAGGGGGAGGAAGAAGUUGGGAGGGGGAGGGAGGGCCGGAAAUGUGCUGGAGACCGCCUGGGUCCAGAGAGGAAGGGAGGGCGGGCCUCCCCCGAAGGUGCUGGUGGUGCGGCUCUGUGUCCUCCAGUUGUAGGCAGGGGAGAAGGGUCAGGCUUAAAUGUUCACUCAAGUUGUGUGUAGAAAGGCAGGGUUAACUGUACCCUAGGAACGGGUGUGGGGGUAGGUUGUCAAAACCAGAGCUAGACAUAAGCUAAAACGGUGGAAAUAAAUUUUAUUCACCAUAAUGUAGCUACAGGGGAAGACACACUCCAGUAUAGACUUGGGGUCAAUUCUGAAUACCAGCAGAUCAAGUGGGGAUUUAUAACUAAACAAGUUGGAGUUGGGGGUGUUAGCUGAUAAAUACACAGUCCGGCGGCUUUUGGCUGUACCAACCUAAUAAGAUUAUUGCUGAAGGCAGGCCUAGGUGAUCUGAUACCACCUGGGGGCAGUCGUGGGGAUGAAGUUUGAUCAGUUUUCAAGGGUAGAGAAUUCUUAUUAAACUGACAGGAUUCUUGCUAAAACUGGAUUCUACAAGGAAGUACAUGGAAAGUUGUUGGGGAGAGGGUUCAGGGGAAUCUGACUAAAGUUUGGGUAAGCAAAGAAUCUUGGUCAGGGAGGAGGAGUGGGAUGGGUAGGAUCCUCUGCGCAGUGUCCUCUUCUGGGAGCCAUGGUGCCCCUGUCUAGGAAAUGAAAGAAGACUUGUUUCUGCCCAUGAUCUGGUGUGUGCUCGUCUUCCCUGGGGGCCAAGGACUAAGUAGUCUCUUAUCUUCCUCAGAGUCCAGUAUCUGGUGUUUUCUCAUCUUGGUCAGGUCCCAGGGCCUACUGUGGUCUUGACUUCUUCAGGGUCCAGGCUUUGAUGUUCUCGGGGCUCUCCUAAUAUUCUUGGGCCCCAGACUUGGUGGAUUCUCCUCUUGGAAUUUCCCAGCAGGUUUUAGCAACCCUAUGCCUCCCUUUGGGUCAUCCUGUCCACAGCCUGCCAAACUUGUUCCAGGCGUUGUUAUUUAUUUAUUUGUUGAGAGAGAGAGAGAGAAAGAAAGAGAAAUAUCUUAAGCAGGCUCCACAAUGUGUGCAGAGCCCAUCACAGAGCUCGAUUACACAAUCCUGGGAUCAUGACCUGAGCUGAAAUCGAGUUGGAUGCUUAAUGGACUGAGCCACUCAGGUGUGCCCAGGAGUUGUUAAUUUUUAUUGUUACUGUGGAGAGCAUUUACCUGCCAGCUGCACAUUGUUCAUCAUAUUUGUUGCAAUAAGACGGUCUUGAUUUUGAUUAGUAUUUACUCAGAAACUGAGAAGAAGUCUUUUAUACUAAGAGUAUUUCCUUGGAUUUUCUUGUGGCUAUUGUAGAGAAAAUACAAUCUCCAUUCUGGCCCCAAUCCCUUAUUCAAAACCUUCAGGGCCAGAACUGUUUUGGAAUUCACAAGUGUUUGGAUCUUAAUAGGAUAGUAAGCCCCUUGCCUGUGCCUUGGAGAUUGCUGCUGAGGUGACUUGGCCCUUCCUGCUGAUUGCGGUGGAUCUCUGCUCUUUGUGGGUUGUCCACCUCCAGAGGAUUGGCUCUAAAUCAGGGUAACCUCAACCCAGGUGACUUCCCAUUGCAUUCAGAAGGAAGCUCAAACUCCUAAUUAGUGUUCACAAGACCUGGAACGUCUGAGCCUCAUUGCAUCUGACUCUUGUCCUUCUGCUCUUUUCCCUCACCCAUCCAUUCUGGCCUCACUGCCUGCCAUCAGUUUCUUGAUUGCAUCAGAUUCUUCCCACUUCAGAGCCUUUGCUAGCCCUUCUCCUUUUGCUAAAAUGCUCUUCCCCAAGCCAUUAUAUACUGGCUCCUUCUCACACCUGAGAGUUCAGAUUAAAGUUGACUUCAUCAGAGAGGCUUUCUUGAGCUGUGUGGUGAAUUCAGUAAUAGUCCCCCAAAGACGUCUAUGUACUAAUCUGCAGAACCUGAGAACCUGUUACCUCAUGUAGCCUAAGGGACUUUGCAGAUAAUGAUUAAGUUAAGGAUUUUGAGAUGGAUGGUUUAUAUUGGGUCAUGUGGGUGGGCCCAGUGUAAUCACAAGGUCCUCAAAAGUGUAAGAGGAAUGCAGGAGAGUCAAAAUCAGAAGAUUUUUGAUGACAGAAUCAGAGAUUGGAGUGAUUUAAGGUCAUGAAGCACACAAUGUGUCUUCUAGAAGCUGGACAAGGCAAGGAAAUGGAUUCUCCCCUAGAGUCUCCAGAAGGAAUACCAUUUUAGACUUCUGACUUCCAGAACUAUAAGAUAAUAAAUUUGUAUUAUUUUAAA